UAAAGUUACUUAAGGGCACAUGGAGGAUGCCUAGGCUCCGGGAGGCGAUGAAGGACGUGAUAAGCUGCGAUAAGCUGCGGGUAUCGGCAAAUACGAUUCGAUCCGCAGAUUUCCGAAUGGGGCAACCCGGUAUGAGCAGAUCAUACCAUCCGUUUUAUAGCGGAGGCGAACGCGGGGAACUGAAACAUCUCAGUACCUGCAGGAAAAGAAAACAAGUAGUGAUUCCCCCAGUAGCGGCGAGCGAACGGGGAUUAGCCCAAACCGGCGAUGUUUCGGCAUUGUCGGGGUUGUAGGACCGACCGUUUAGGUUUUCCGACGUUGAAGUGGAACAUUCUGGAAAGUUUGAUCAUAGAGGGUGACAAUCCCGUACACGAAUCGACGUUUGAAUGCCGGUCGGCAAUCCUGAGUAGUGCGGGGCACGAGAAAUCCUGUACGAAUCGGGCGGGACCAUCCGCCAAGGCUAAAUACUCCCCGGAGACCGAUAGUGUACCAGUACCGUGAGGGAAAGGUGAAAAGGACCUCGAACAGAGGAGUGAAAUAGAACCUGAAACCAUGUGCCUACAAGCGGUCGGAGCGCGUCGGAUAUUUUUUCGAUGUGUGACGGCGUGCCUUUUGCAUAAUGAACCUACGAGUUGCUUUUGUUGGCGAGGUUAAGUGUUUUUUCAGGCACGUUAGCCGUAGCGAAAGCGAGUCUUCACAGGGCGUUAUAGUCAGCAUGAGCAGACGCGAAACCAAGUGAUCUACCCUUGAGCAGGCUGAAGUUUCCGUAACAGGGGAUGGAGGGCCGAAUCGGUAUACGUUGAAAAGUAUUCGAAUGACUUGAGGGUAGGGGUGAAAGGCCAAUCAAACUUGGAGAUAGCUCGUACUCCCCGAAAUGCAUUUAGGUGCAGCCUCGGGCGAUUUCCUUACAUGAGGUAGAGCCACUGAUUGGAUGCGAGGGCUUCACCGCCUGUCAAUUCCAGACAAACUCCGAAUGCGUGUAAGGUUUUCCCGGGAGUGAGGGCACGGGUGCUAAGGUCCGUGUCCGAGAGAGGAACAACUCAGACCAUCGGCUAAGGUCCCCAAAUAUAUGCUAAGUUGGUUUAAACGAAGUAUCGCCGCUGAGACAGCUAGGAUGUUGGCUUGGAAGCAGCCACUCAUUUAAAGAGUGCGUAACAGCUCACUAGUCUAGUGGUGGUGCGUGGACAAUAAUCGGGCAUAAGCAUAUUACCGAAGCUGUGGGACGUACAUUAUGUACGUCGGUAGGGGAGCAUUCCGCAUGCAGUGAAGGAGUGUUGUGAGGCAUUCUGGAGCGUUCGGAAGCGAAAAUGUAGGUAUAAGUAACGAUAAAGGGGGCGUGAAACCCCCUCGCCAAAAGACUCAGGUUUCCUGAUCAACGCUAAUCGGAUCAGGGUAAGUCGGGUCCUAAGGAUAAUCCGUUAUGGAGAUUCCGAUGGGUGAAACGGUCAAUAUUCCGUUACUGCGACAAUAAGCGAUGUGGUGACGCAGGGGUGACACCGCUGCCUGCUGACGGAAUAGCAGGUUGAAGGGUGUAGGUAUUGAAGGGUGUAGGCAAAUCCGCACCCUGAGCCGAACCUGAAAGUAUGGCAAGUCUUCGGACGAGUCAAUAAUGCGGGUAAUCGUACUGCCCGGAAAAACCGCUAAGCUUCAUUAUUGUUGCACCCGUACCGCAAACCGACACAGGUAGUUGGGUUGAGUAUACUUAGGCGCUCGAGAGAUUCACGGUUAAGGAACUAGGCAAAAUGGUCCUGUAACUUCGGGAGAAAGGACGCCUUCUCCAUUAGGGGAGGGCCGCAGUGAACAGAUUUGGACGACUGUUUAUCAAAAACACAAGGCUAUGCGAAUUCGAAAGAAGCGGUAUAUAGUCUGACACCUGCCCGGUGCCGGAAGGUUAAGGGGAAGGGUUAGCAUAGGGGAUUCGUCUCCUAUGCGAAGCUCCGAGCUGAAGCCCCGGUAAACGGCGGCCGUAACUAUAACGGUCCUAAGGUAGCGAAAUUCCUUGUCGGGUAAGUUCCGACCUGCACGAAUGGUGUAACGAUCUGAAUACUGUCUCAACCGUGAGCUCGGUGAAAUUGAAGUAUCGGUGAAGAUGCCGAUUACCCGCGAUGGGACGAGAAGACCCCGUGAACCUUUACUAUAGCUUUACAUUGGACUUGGUCCUUCGAUGUGUAGGAUAGGCCGGAGGCUAAGAAGCGGUUGCGCCAGCAGCCGUGGAGCCGUCGGUGAAAUACGGCCCUUCGAAUGAUCGGGUUCUAACCCGCGUUUUAGCGGGGACAGUGUAUGGUGGGUAGUUUGACUGGGGUGGUCGCCUCCAAAAGCGUAACGGAGGCUUCCAAAGGUGCGCUCCGGACGAUUGGUAACCGUCCGCGAGAGUGUAAUGGCACAAGCGCGCUUGACUGAGAGACCUACAAGUCGAUCAGGUAGGAAACUAGGGCAUAGUGAUCCGGUGGUUCCGUAUGGAAGGGCCAUCGCUCAAAGGAUAAAAGGUACUCCGGGGAUAACAGGCUGAUCAUUCCCAAGAGCUCAUAUCGACGGAAUGGUUUGGCACCUCGAUGUCGGCUCGUCACAUCCUGGGGCUGGAGAAGGUCCCAAGGGUUGGGCUGUUCGCCCAUUAAAGUGGCACGCGAGCUGGGUUCAGAACGUCGUGAGACAGUUCGGUCUCUAUCUAUCGUGGGCGCGGGAGAUUUGCGGGGCUCUGACACUAGUACGAGAGGACCGUGUCGGACGGACCUCCGGUGAACCGGUUGUGCCGCCAGGUGCAUCGCCGGGUAGCUGCGUCCGGUCAAGGAUAAGCGCUGAAAGCAUCUAAGCGCGAAGCCGACCCCAAGAUGAGAUCUCCAUUAAUAGGGUGGUUAUAGACGAUGACCUUGAUAGGCUGCAGGUGUAAAGGCGGUAACGUCAAAGCCGAGCAGUACUAAUUACCCGAACGACUUUUUUUC
rnacentral:rRNA from 1 species